UCCUUGGUGGCUCAGAUGGUAAAGAAUCUGCUUGCAAUGCAGGAGAUCUGGGUUCGACCCUUGGCUUGGGAA
rfam:Ovis aries breed Texel chromosome 3, whole genome shotgun sequence.